GGAUCUAGCGGCACGGAAGGAAUUCGCCUGCGGAUGGGCGGAUGGCACACUGUAGGAGCGUACGCGAGGCGGUUCAGGGUUGCCAGGAUGGUGGCAUUGACCGGUUGCGACGGCGCGGUACCACAGGCCUGCCAAAGUGGUCUUCGCGGAACCGUGGCUUCCAGUUCGCAAGCUCCAGCGCGCGCACCACCUGUUCGAUGGAAUGACGACGUGGUCAGUUGUCGCAUGUUCUUUGUCCGUAUACCGGUCGCGUGAGCUGGGCUAUCGCCUGCCUGUACCUGCCACUCAAGACCUCAGCAUUCAAAUAGUGGUGCCACAGGCAGUGUUGCCGGGAAUUCUGGAAGAAACACUGGUGUGUUUACUUCAGUUGGUGUUGCGCCCGAACACCGAAGGUGCAUCAUCUAUUCAUCUGGGUGCAAGCUACACUGCUUUGGGGAAGUAGUCCGCAGACUGAACAUAAGGAGCGCAAGGGCAAGCCCAGCGACACAUGCCCCUGCCCCCACAAACUGCCACAAAGAAUACCUUGUGGCCAGGACGUACCACGUAAGUAUGAUGACCCAUACAACAGUGAAACAAUCCAGAAAGGUUACACUGGUAAUGUAUGAGUACUGGUAUGCCUUCACAACUGCAUCAAGAUAAUGUUAGUUAAGUUGUUUAGUUCAAAAUCAUACCCUUUUUUUUUAUGUGUGUGUAUAUAUGGACUCAGUGUAACUGUAUGGUGCCUGAACUCACCAAGAUAGUUUCCCUGUACAUCAAUGAAGGCCAGGGCCAGAUACCAAUACCAAGCUAUCUGCAAGAGUACUCAAAACAGUGAGCCAUGAAUCACAUUGCUCCCAGGAUUGAUUCUUAUGCAGCUGUGCUCACUUGCAACUUCUCCCUUCGAUGUAAGAUGAUUGGUACAUAAACUAUGGUCAGCAACAGGUACGCGAAGAGCAACUGUGUGAGUGGUGCAUUAACUCCUGCGCAGUUUUCAUGUUGGCCAACGAGAGAAAUUGAAAAAUUGAGUACGUACCAAGAUUAGCAAUGAGGGAGGAGGCGAAGCUUGAGGCCGCAACGGAGAAGGAGAUGAUCUGGCCGAGGAGCAGCACGAGCAGCAGGCCCCAUACGGCCUUCUUCU